AUCGAUCGGUAGGGGUUCUGAGAGGAAGGUCCCCCACACUGGAACUGAGACACGGUCCAGACUCCUACGGGAGGCAGCAGUGAGGAAUAUUGGUCAAUGGCCGUAAGGCUGAACCAGCCAAGUAGCGUGAGGGAAGACUGCCCUAUGGGUUGUAAACCUCUUUUAUGCGGGGAUAAAGGUGUCCACGUGUGGAUGUUUGCAGGUACCGCAUGAAUAAGGACCGGCUAAUUCCGUGCCAGCAGCCGCGGUAAUACGGAAGGUCCGGGCGUUAUCCGGAUUUAUUGGGUUUAAAGGGAGCGUAGGCCGGUCUUUAAGCGUGCCGUGAAAUUUUGUGGCUCAACCAUGAGAGUGCGGCGCGAACUGGAGACCUUGAGUGCGCGGAAGGCAGGCGGAAUUCGUGGUGUAGCGGUGAAAUGCUUAGAUAUCACGAAGAACCCCGAUUGCGAAGGCAGCCUGCCGCAGCGUUACUGACGCUGAAGCUCGAAAGCGCGGGUAUCGAACAGGAUUAGAUACCCUGGUAGUCCGCGCGGUAAACGAUGGAUGCCCGCUGUCGGCGAUAUACAGUCG
rnacentral:rRNA from 1 species